rnacentral:rRNA from 1 species
GACGAACGCUGGCGGCGCGCUUAACACAUGCAAGUCGAGCGAGAACCAGUCCUUCGGGACUGGGGAAAGCGGCGAACGGGUGAGUAACACGUGAGUAAUCCACCCUCGGUACCGGAAUAGCCCGGGGAAACCCGGAUUAAUGCCGGAUGGCCCAUUUCCCUUGCGGGGGAACUGGAAAAGAUAGCUUCGGCCUUCGACCGAGGACGAGCUCGCGGCGGAUUAGCUUGUUGGCGGGGUAACGGCCCACCAAGGCGACGAUCCGUAGCUGGUCUGAGAGGACGAUCAGCCACACUGGGACUGAGACACGGCCCAGACUCCUACGGGAGGCAGCAGUGGGGAAUCUUGCGCAAUGGGCGAAAGCCUGACGCAGCGACGCCGCGUGAGGGAAGAAGGCCUUCGGGUUGUAAACCUCUUUCAGGAGGGACGAAGCCACUCGGGUUCAUAGCCCAGAGGAUGACGGUACCUCCAGAAGAAGCCCCGGCUAACUACGUGCCAGCAGCCGCGGUAA